GAUGAACGCUGGCGGCGUGCCUAAUACAUGCAAGUAGAACGAGUUGCGAACGGGUGAGUAACGCGUGGUAACCUGCCUCAUAGCGGGGGAUAACUAUUGAAAACGAUAGCUAAUACCUCAUACUGUGAGAUGGACCUGCGUUGUAUUAGCUAGUUGGUGAGGUAAAGGCUCACCAAGGCGACGAUCCCUAGCAGGUCUGAGAGGAUGACCAGCAACACUGGGACUGAGACACGGUCCAGACUCCUACGGGAGGCAGCAGUGGGGAAUAUUGCGCAAUGGGCGCAAGUCUGAUGCAGCCAUGCCGCGUGUAUGAAGAAGGCUUUCGGGUUGUAAAGUACUUUCAGCGAGGAGGCGUUACUCGCAGAAGAAGCACCGGCUAACUCCGUGCCAGCAGCCGCGGUAAUAC
rnacentral:rRNA from 1 species